rnacentral:rRNA from 1 species
ACGCUAGCGGCAGGCUUAACACAUGCAAGGCGAGGGGGCAGCAAUGUCACCGUCGUACGGGUGCGUAACGCGUAUGCAACCUACCUUCAACUGGGGGAUAGCCCGGGGAAACCCGGAUUAAUACCGCAUAAUACAGGGGGCCCACAUGGGUCUAUUUGUUAAAGAUUUAUUGGUUGAAGAUGGGCAUGCGUUCGAUUAGCUAGUUGGUACGGGUAACGGCCUACCAAGGCAACGAUCGAUAGGGGAGCUGAGAGGUUGAUCCCCCACACGGGCACUGAGAUACGGGCCCGACUCCUACGGGAGGCAGCAGUAGGGAAUAUUGGGCAAUGGAUGCAAGUCUGACCCAGCCAUGCCGCGUGCCGGAUGAAGGCCCUCAGGGUUGUAAACGGCUUUUAUUCGGGAAGAAGAGCAGGGAUGCGUCCCUGUGUGACGGUACUGAAUGAAUAAGCACCGGCUAACUCCGUGCCAGCAGCCGCGGUAAUACGGAGGGUGCGAGCGUUGUCCGGAUUUAUUGGGUUUAAAGGGUGCGUAGGUGGCUUUUUAAGUCAGUGGUGAAAUACAGCCGCUCAACGGUUGAGGUGCCAUUGAUACUGAAGAGCUUGAAACAAGUGGAGGCUGCCGGAAUGGAUGGUGUAGCGGUGAAAUGCAUAGAUAUCAUCCAGAACACCGAUUGCGAAGGCAGGUGGCUACGUUUGAUUUGACACUGAGGCACGAAAGCAUGGGGAGCAAAC